rnacentral:rRNA from 1 species
GUGGGGAAUCUUAGACAAUGGGCGCAAGCCUGAUCUAGCCAUGGCGCGUGAGCGAUGAAGGCCUUAGGGUUGUAAAGCUCUUUCGUGGGGGAAGAUAAUUACUGUACCCCAAGAAGAAGCCCCGGCUAACUCCGUGCCAGCAGCCGCGGUAAUACGGAGGGGGCUAGCGUUGUUCGGAAUUACUGGGCGUAAAGCGCACGUAGGCGGACUGGAAAGUCAGGGGUGAAAUCCCGGGGCUAAACCCCGGAACUGCCUUUGAAACUCCCAGUCUUGAGUUCGAGAGAAGUGAGUGGAAUUCCGAGUGUAGAGGUGAAAUUCGUAGAUAUUCGGAGGAACACCAGUGGCGAAGGCGGCUCACUGGCUCGAUACUGACGCUGAGGUGCGAAAGCGUGGGGAGCAAACAGGAUUAGAAACCCGGGUAGUCC